ensembl:lncRNA
UUUGAGGAUAUUUUGGGGAUGAUUUUGGGGGUAAUUUUGAGGAUAUUUUGGGGGUAAUUUUGAGGAUAUUUUCAGGAUAUUUUGGGAUAAUUUUGGGGAUAUUUUCAGGAUAUUUUGAGGAUAUUUUCAGGAUAUUUUUGGGGAUAUUUUCAGGAUAUUUUUGGGAUAAUUUUGGGGAUAUUUUUGGGAUAUUUUCAGGAUAUUUUGGGGAUAUUUUUGGGAUAUUUUUGGGAUAAUUUUGGGGAUAUUUUCAGGAUAUUUUGGGGAUAUUUUCAGGAUAUUUUUGGGAUAAUUUUGGGGAUAUUUUGUGGAUAUUUUGGGAUAAUUUUGGGGAUAUUUUGGGGAUAUUUUUGGGGUAAUUUUGGGGAUAUUUUGGGGGAUAUUUUCGGGGAUAAUUUUGGGGAUAUUUUGGGGAUAUUUUGGGGAUAUUUUGGGGAUAUUUUGGGGAUAAUUUCAGGAUAUUUUGGGGAUAUUUUCGGGAUAAUUUUGGGGAUCAUUUUGGGGAUAUUUUGGGGAUAUUUUGGGGAUAUUUUGGGGAUAUUUUGGGGAUAUUUUGGGGAUAUAUUUGGGAUAAUGUCACAUUAAUUCUGGGUGUUUCCCCCCCCAGGUGAGGCCCCCCUCAGGUGAGGGCUCGGGGGCCGGGCCGGGCCCGCCCGCGGGGUUUCCCCAGGGGGCGCUGCAGGGGCUGCAGGGGCUGCAGUGCCACUUCCGGAGCGACGCCAACGGCGGCCAGGUGACGUACCGCGUGGUGCAGGUGACCGAGGCUCCCCUCGAUGGCCCCGAGGGCGGCGCCGUCAGCGUCGUCUCCACCUUCGGCCCCGGCGCCCCCCAGGUGCUGCAGAGCCCCUUCAGCAACGGCGCCGGGGGCGGGGCCAGCCCGGGCAGCGAGGGCGGGGCCGAGAGGCUGCCCUGGGGGGGGGGGCGCUGCUGCAGGCGGAGACCACCCUGGCACCGGCCACAGGUACCGGGGCACACCUGGGCACACCUGGGCACACCUGGGGGCACAAAAAUGGGGGGAAAUGGGGAAAAUUGGGUGAAAAUCGAUGGAAAUUUGGGGGUUUUGGAGGGAAAAUUGGGGAUUCGGGCACAGCUGGGCACACCUGGGGCACACCUGGGGGCACCUGGGAGGGGAAAAAUGGCAAAAUUUUGGGGGAAAUCAGUGAAAAUCGGAGAAUUUGGGGGCACCUGGGGGUACCUGGGCACACCUGGGGGCACCUGGGCACUUCUGGCAGCACCUGGGGCACACCUGGAGACCUUUGGGCACACCUGGGCACACCUGAGGGUGGCAAACCCCACACCUGGGGUUGGGAAUGGCACACCUGGGCACACCUGGGGGGUACCUGGGCACACCUGGGAUCACCUGGGGCACACCUGGGCACACCUGAGGGUGGCAAACCCACACCUGGGGGAUACCUGGGCACACCUGGGAGGGAGAAAGUCACACCUGGGCACAGCUGGGGCGGGUUCCUCUGCCCGGAGGUGCCCCCAGGUGUGCCCAGGUGUGCCCAGGUGUGCCCGCUGUCCCCUCCCCCAGGGCAGUUCUAUGUGAUGAUGACCCCUCCGGACGUGCUGCAGGCGGGGGAGGGGCCCCGCGAGGCCUCGCCCCCCACGGCCACGCCCACGGCCACGGCCACGCCUACUCACCGUGAGUGCCACGCCCCCGGCGGCACCUGGGGGGGGAUAAAUGGAAAAACCGGGGAAAUUGGGGUGAAAAAUGGGGAUUUUGGGGUUUGGAGUUACCUGGGCACACCUGGGCACACCUGGGCACACCUGGGGGUGGGAAAAUGGGGAAAAUUGGGUGAAAAUUGAUGGAAAUUUGGGGGUUUUGGAGGGAAAAUUGGGAAUUUGGGCACAGCUGGGCACACCUGGGCACACCUGGGGGCACCUGGGAGGGGAUAAAUGGAAAAAAUAUGGGGGGAAAUUGGGGUGAAAAAUGGGGAUUUUGGGGUGUUUGGAGUUACCUGGGCACACCUGGGCACACCUGGGGGUGGGAAAAUGGGG